UUUUGAAAGCUAAGAAAAUACAGACAUAAUGGCAUGCAUCUUAAUUUAUUAAUUUUUUAUGUCGUGAAGCUGUUUGAUUCAAAAUAUUGUUUCUUAUUUCUUCUCUCGCAUCAUGGCUUCUCUAAAAAAUUGGUUUGCAUGCAUCUUGAAAGUUUUGUUCAAGUCCAGUGGAAUCUCUUAAACAAAUUGAUUGUAGAGUUGACCUUAUGUGCUCUUCAAGCUUCGCUUAUGUUCUCCCAAUGACAUGUCUUUAACUGCUGCUUCAGAACAGCUAAGAAUCUUGUUUCAUGGUCUUUCUGUAACCCUGGAUGUGCAGGCUUUCAUCAAUCUGACCUGUAAUUUGUAAAGCUUGACAUUCUUGUUGUUGCUGCUCUUCUUUGAAUUUUAUGACUUCCAAAUAUUUGAUCUUACCUAGUAUCAUGGUAACGAGCAUUUUGUAAUGAAAUAGGACGUGUUUUCCCAAAUUGAGAGUUUACAUGAGUGCUAAACUAUUAAUGUCGACUCCUUUUUUUUUUUUUGCAUGAGAGAGAGAGAAUUUAAGUCCACUAGACCCUCUUAAACAGAUAGAUUUAGAGCUGGCCUUAUGCGCUUUUCAAGCUUGGAUGGUGCUCUCUCAUUGUCAUGUCUUUGACUGCUGCCAUGGAACGGUCAGGAAUCUUGUUUUAUAAUCUGUUGGAGCAUGCAUCUGCUCUACAUGUGCAGCUUUUGUCAAGAAUCUGACUUUAAUAUAUAAUGGCUGAGGAUCUUGUUGUUGCUCUUCUUUGAAACUUUAUGACCNNN
rnacentral:lncRNA from 1 species